GAUAACUAAAAGUACUUUUAUCUGCUUAAAUGAAAACCUUUUGAACAACACAUGCAAAUUUUUCAAAAUUUUGUGUGAAUUUAAAACUGUGGCUACUGGUAUGUUAGAUAAAUGCAUUUCUUCAUUUCAGUUUAGUGUCAAUAUAUCCAACUUUCAUCUUCCAUAGAAAAUGCUUAUGAAAUAGGUUUUAAAGCACAUGAAUCCAAAACAUGAGCCUCAAGGCAUGACGUAGCCUUCAUGCACUCGUCCUUCUUUCUUUUUAAAUGACCACUGGUGGAGAGUCUAGAAUUAAAGAUUAGGUCCAGGAUUCAAGUUGAAUCGGCCUUCCCUCAUAUCUCCGGGUGGGGCAAGUAUUUCGAUCAAAUGUUUGUAAGGUUGCGUACUUUCAGGAAAUGUUCAAAACAAAGAAUUUACAAUCAUAGAAUGCCACGGUCUCAGUAGAUUGAGGAAAGAGAAGAGAUCUAUUGAGAAAAAUAUUUAUCUCAGAGAAACUGUUUGAAGUUUAUAAACUUGCAAGUAAGAUUUGUGGUUGAUAAAAUCUCGACAGUUACAUCCAAUCACGAACUUUUUAGACAUACAGAGUGAGAAAUUCCUUGGAAAGUUUUGCGGGAAAAGUCCCUUAAACGUGUGUGUCUGGGGUGUAAAUUUGAGAGGAAUAUUGAUCAAAAGCAUCGAAGCUCUGAAAUGGAGUUGGUAUGUUGCUGAUAGUUGAAACUGUUGGUGCAAAGGGGCUGCAAAACAAAAAAUAGUGAGAGAAAAGAGUUUGCUUCAAGGCAUGUUACAAUAUCGCUUUCCUUAAGACAAUAUUCGUCUCCACCAAUAACGGUAUGCACACGGAUUAUACGCGAAUUUGUCUCCAAGAUACAAGGAAGCCUCAACAAGUCAGUUUUUCUAAUUGCGUUAUGCACAUACGAAAUUAGACCCCAAAUACCCUCAGAUUCUUUUAUUCAACCAAGAUAUUAGAAAUUUCUCUAUAGAAUAAAUAGAUCCUAAUGAUAAGUUUUGAAGAAAUGAAAACUUUUGGGAGAGAGAACUUUGAAACUGGCUUGUCAGAUUGUCUAAUUCGUUGGCCAAUGGGUCUAUUUAUAGAUGACCAAAC